AAAUGGAUUUCUGCUGGGGAGUCUUCUUGGCUAUUCUAGAAAUGCUUUCUUACAGCUGGGAAACUGUUCUAAAUAGCUUUUGGUAAUACUUAUUCAUCCUGGAGAUUCAGAUGGAAGUUUUUCUUCAUCAUAGACCCUAAAUUUUAUGUCCAAAUUAUGAUAAGUCUUUAACAUUGGUUAUGGUGCUUUUAUUUUCUUAAUUUGAAGGCAUCUUCCUGAGGUCCCAGAGUCUUCAAAUUUCCUAGAUUAAGAAAAUAGUAUGUAGCCUUUUAACCAUAUGUACACAAAACACCCCUGAAAAUUAGGAGAUGACUUGACUUUCUCUUUCACUGCAUUUCAUUUGAAACGCCAGGAAAGAGUAUAGAUAUGGUGUUCAGCAGCACUUGAGCCAUUUUUUAAAAUUUUUGUUGAUAAAGUAAAAUUUUAUUUUAUGCUAUAUAUUAACAUUUCAGCAUAUAAUAAAC
rnacentral:lncRNA from 1 species